CUCUCUAGCAGAUCUAGCCAUGGGCACAAUGUUCUAAAGCGCGUUAAGGCGAUGCUAAUACCGUCAGGUGUUAAGACUUUCUUUUUUAAGUUACACACAGGCACGCUCACUGUCAAACCAUGGAUGG
rnacentral:lncRNA from 1 species